AAGCGGAGGAACAUGUGGUUUAAUUCGAUGAUACGCGAGGAACCUUUACCUGGGCUUAAAUGUAGAGUGCAUUUUUUAGAGAUAGAAAUUCCCUUCGGGGCUUUCUGCAAGGUGCUGCAUGGUUGUCGUCAGCUCGUGCCGUGAGGUGUCGGGUUUAAGUCCCAUAACGAGCGCAACCCUUAUCGUUAGUUGCCAGCUGGUAAAGCAGGGGACUCUAGCGAAACUGCCACCGUAAGGUGAGAGGAAGGUGGGAUGACGUCAAAUCAGCACGGCCCUUAUGUCCAGGGCUACACACGUGUUACAAUGGCCGGCACAGAGGGCAGCUACCUGGUGACAGGAUGCUAAUCUCGAAAACCGGUCUCAGUCCGGAUCGCAGUCUGCAACUCGACUGCGUGAAGUUGGAAUCGCUAGUAAUCGUAGAUCAGCAUGCUACGGUGAAUACGUUCCCGGGCCUU
rnacentral:rRNA from 1 species